rnacentral:rRNA from 1 species
GGGAGGUAGUGACAAUAAAUAACAAUACGGGGUCCUUUGGGUCUCGUAAUUGGAAUGAGUACAAUUUAAAUCUCUUAACGAGGAACAAUUGGAGGGCAAGUCUGGUGCCAGCAGCCGCGGUAAUUCCAGCUCCAAUAGCGUAUAUUAAAGUUGUUGCAGUUAAAAAGCUCGUAGUUGAAUUUCGGGAUCAAUACGUCGGUCGUGCCUUCGGUACGCACUGGCGUCGUUGAUUUCUCCCUUCUGAUGAACCAUGAUGUCAUUAAUUUGGUGUUGUGGGGAGUCAGGACUGUUACUUUGAAAAAUUAGAGUGUUUAAAGCAGGCAAACGCUUGAAUACAUUAGCAUGGAAUAAUGAAAUAGGACGUUCGAACCUAUUUUGUUGGUUUCUAGGUACAACGUAAUGAUUAAUAGGGAUAGUUGGG